AUCAGAACCGUCACCUGGUGUCCUCUGUCCACCAGUGUUUCCAGUACCGAUUUCAUGUUCAUCCAGUGGCUGGCCUCAGUGUACCACCAUUUGAGUUUUCUGCAUCACAAAGUAGCAGCAGGACGCAGACAGAGAGACGCAGCUCCAUGGAGGCUGUGUGUGUAAAUAAACCAGCUGCGGUCUUUGUAACAGCUGUAUCUUAAAGGUACUGAUUAACUAAAUGAACUUUGACCUUCUGUGCUUUGUACAAAUUAAGCAAGAUAAUAGGCUCACUCCAUAAAAACUGUUGUAAAUAAAAGGCAAAUACAUAGCACCGUGAGUAGGAAUUCUUUUGUUUGCUCUCUGCGUUUAUGACAUCGUCUCUCCAGGAACGCCGUCUGCACAACGACCAACUGGACAGCGUCUGACUUCGGAGCGACCUCUGACCUCCGGGGUUACAAGUUAAGCGGGCACAUCGAGCCGUUUCUCUGUCAGGCCUCUGGCCUCGGAGCUGUCACUCCUGGAUCCGGGCGACGGCGCCUCGGUGUCGCUGUUGGCGGUCCAGGUUUGGGGAGGCGAGUGCAGCCGCUC